AAACCAGCACCUCAAGUGGUCAGGAUGAUUAUUGGGCCUAAAGCAUCCGUAGCCGGCUCUGUAAGUUUUCGGUUAAAUCUGUACGCUUAACGUACAGGCUGCUGGGAAUACUGCAGAGCUAGGGAGUGGGAGAGGUAGACGGUACUCGGGAGGAAGUGGUAAAAUGCUUUGAUCUCUCGAUGACCACCUGUGGCGAAGGCGGUCUACCAGAACACGUCCGACGGUGAGGGAUGAAAGCUGGGGGAGCAAACCGGAUUAGAAACCCUGGUAGUCC
rnacentral:rRNA from 1 species